GAUGAACGCUGGCGGCGUGCCUAAUACAUGCAAGUCGAGCGAACGGACGCGAAGCUUGCUUUUCUGAUGUUAGCGGCGGACGGGUGAGUAACACGUGGAUAACCUACCUAUAAGACUGGGAUAACUUCGGGAAACCGGAGCUAAUACCGGAUAAUAUUUUGAACCGCAUGGUUCAACAGUGAAAGACGGUCUUGCUGUCACUUAUAGAUGGAUCCGCGCUGCAUUAGCUAGUUGGUAAGGUAACGGCUUACCAAGGCAACGAUGCAUAGCCGACCUGAGAGGGUGAUCGGCCACACUGGAACUGAGACACGGUCCAGACUCCUACGGGAGGCAGCAGUAGGGAAUCUUCCGCAAUGGGCGAAAGCCUGACGGAGCAACGCCGCGUGAGUGAUGAAGGUCUUCGGAUCGUAAAACUCUGUUAUUAGGGAAGAACAUAUGUGUAAGUAACUGUGCACAUCUUGACGGUACCUAAUCAGAAAGCCACGGCUAACUACGUG
rnacentral:rRNA from 1 species